rnacentral:lncRNA from 1 species
UCCAACAACAAUUUUGUUGUCAUAUAUCAGUUGAGAAUAAUUCGUAUUUUGGUUAUGCGUUUUGCCUUUCUUCGAAUUAUACUUGCUUGUUUUUCUGUAUGGAUAUAUUUUCAUUGCUUUGGAGCACCUAUAUUACUUUUGAAGUGUUAAAAGAUUUGAACUUUCCUUGUACUGAUGUUGUGGUUUGUCUGGGUAUGAAGAUUUGAGUCAUAGAGAUACUCAUCAACUAUUAUUUGAAAUUGGAGUAAUACAACAACAUACCCCGUGUGGUUCCAACAAAUGGAGUCCGGGGGAGGGUAGUGUGUACGCAAACGUUACACCUAUUAGGUAAAUAGGCCGUUUUCGAUAGAAACUGGAAUAUUUUGGACUGGGAUUAACUAAAUGUCCCUUCACUUGGGAGGACGCUCAGACUUUGAGGAUCCUCAGAUAUCUCCCUAAGGC